rnacentral:rRNA from 1 species
AGCGAACGCUGGCGGCAGGCUUAACACAUGCAAGUCGAGCGGGCACUUCGGUGUCAGCGGCAGACGGGUGAGUAACACGUGGGAACGUACCCUUUGGUUCGGAAUAACGCUGGGAAACUAGCGCUAAUACCGGAUACGCCCUUUUGGGGAAAGGCUUGCUGCCGAAGGAUCGGCCCGCGUCUGAUUAGCUAGUUGGUGGGGUAAUGGCCCACCAAGGCGACGAUCAGUAGCUGGUCUGAGAGGAUGAUCAGCCACACUGGGACUGAGACACGGCCCAGACUCCUACGGGAGGCAGCAGUGGGGAAUAUUGGACAAUGGGCGCAAGCCUGAUCCAGCCAUGCCGCGUGAGUGAUGAAGGCCUUAGGGUUGUAAAGCUCUUUUGUCCGGGACGAUAAUGACGGUACCGGAAGAAUAAGCCCCGGCUAACUUCGUG